rnacentral:rRNA from 1 species
UACGUAGGGGGCAAGCGUUGUCCGGAGUUACUGGGCGUAAAGCGUGCGCAGGCGGUUAUGUAAGACAGGUGUGAAAUCCCCGGGCUUAACCUGGGAACUGCAUUUGUGACUGCAUAGCUAGAGUACGGUAGAGGGGGAUGGAAUUCCGCGUGUAGCAGUGAAAUGCGUAGAUAUGCGGAGGAACACCGAUGGCGAAGGCAAUCCCCUGGACCUGUACUGACGCUCAUGCACGAAAGCAUGGGUAGCGAACAGG